UGAUUUUGAAAGUGCAGUAAAGAAAUAAGUAAAAAAAAAAUAAUAAUAAUAUUCAUAAAAAAAAUAUAUCUACUGUACAUUUCUGCCAAAACUCUGUAUUUCUACAUCACAUAUACGGGUGCUGCUGUGUUGAAUAAAAAGUAACCAAAGACACAGACCAAAGGGUAUAAAUACAGGUGAGCUGAGUCUCUCAUAAUUGCACAGAGCUGGGUAAUGGACCAAUAAUCUGAUCAAGGGGUCAUGGGAACUGAAGUCCACAAGCAACGGGCAAUGAUCCGGGAGGAGUGCCCUCUGAUUGCUUUCAUGGGCACUCCAGCAGAUGGCUGUGACAUGACCCCCGCUUUAAGGAGUGGAUUCCAGAUGGAUUCCAGUGUAACAAAAGGAUCCAGGAGGGAGGUGUAAUGGAGGCAGAUCAGGGGGAGGGAUGGUGGGCCAGGCCCAUGAGGUGGAAGAUGGCCUUGUGCCAGAGGUAAGUCAGGAAACCAGUUAACCUGUUAUAUGACAGAUCUUGAGGCAGGCACAUAAAACACUGAUGGGUCUCUUACAUUAUAGACAGAACAAUUGAUCAAUGGAGCAGAAUCAGCAUCAAAUAGAGUAAAAUGCUUGAAAAUCAGAUAUUUCUUUUUUGACUUCAUAUUCAAGACUUUAAAAAGCUGGAACUAGCUGGAAAUCAUACAGCUAUAACUUAACUCUAAAACUGUUAAAAACACUUACUGGAAAACAGUGAUGAUGCAAAACAUCACUGAGAGCUGUGUAAUUUCCAACACGUUAUUACUGAUAACUUUAAGACUAUCUUAACUCACUACUCUAGUGGCUUUUGAGUAGAAAGUAGAAUUUUGUUAUCAACUACAUACAGUUUUCAUUUAAUCUGGGAACAAUAUUAAUAGCAUUAAGAAAGAGUUUAAGUUAGCAUUCUAGAUUCUCCUCCCCAGUCAUCCACCUCCGCCCCUUUCAGAUGGCAAUAAAAACAGAGGCAUGUGUUCAUUUCACCAUUCUACCAGACCUUAACCUGAGACUUGACGAAACGCUUCUCACUUUCCAACAAGAAAAUAUGAAAGAAGACAAAAGCCUUUUCUUUCAAACGGAACAACCAUUCCUGUCAUCGCUCAACAUCUGCUUUUUUUUUUCUUUUUUUCAGAUUAAGUUUGGUAAAUUGUAGAACAAAUUUUUGAGUAUUUGGAGUUUAGUAGAAUUUUACUUAUGGAUUGUUUGCUUAUGGAUUUCUGUUUGGAUUUUAGUUAUACUUCUGUUUACUUUUCCAUCAAGAGUAUAUUUCUGUUUAGGCAAGCACUCUAUGUGAACUUUACUGGAGAGCACAAUUAUUGCUUUAGUUCUGGUUUAAGUUUAAUUGUUCUUAUAUUGUCUUCUGCUUCUUGAUUUUAAUCCCAGUUUGUGCUUCUUUCUGAUAACUUGCCUUGAUUUAAUCUAAAAUAAAUCAGUAACACUUUACA
ensembl:lncRNA